rnacentral:rRNA from 1 species
AUGCACGCUGGCGGCGUGCCUCAUACAUGCAAGUCGAGCGAACAGAUGAGGAGCUUGCUCCUCUGACGUUAGCGGCGGACGGGUGAGUAACACGUGGAUAACCUACCUAUAAGACUGGGAUAACUUCGGGAAACCGGAGCUAAUACCGGAUAAUAUAUUGAACCGCAUGGUUCAAUAGUGAAAGACGGUUUUGCUGUCACUUAUAGAUGGAUCCGCGCCGCAUUAGCUAGUUGGUAAGGUAACGGCUUACCAAGGCAACGAUGCGUAGCCGACCUGAGAGGGUGAUCGGCCACACUGGAACUGAGACACGGUCCAGACUCCUACGGGAGGCAGCAGUAGGGAAUCUUCCGCAAUGGGCGAAAGCUUGACGGAGCAACGCCGCGUGAGUGAUGAAGGUCUUCGGAUCGUAAAACUCUGUUAUUAGGGAAGAACAAAUGUGUAAGUAACUAUGCACGUCUUGACGGUACCUAAUCAGAAAGCCACGGCUAAUUACGUG